GCAAGAACAAAUUCAUUGUCCCUGGCUGUAUGUUUGUACAUGUGAUCCUCAAUUUGAGUUGGACCCGGAUGCCAGCAUCGCUCUGCUACACCUCAAAAGUCCACAGCACUCGACUGAUAUUCUCCGGGAGGCUAAACCGAUGCUAAUGGGAAGGAGUUGGCCGUCAGCACUGCGUACUUGUUCUGGAACCUGACGGACCCCAUCAUCAACAAGAGACCCGAGAUGAUCUCAAAGCCAGCCCCUUCCAAGACAGCGAUGCCCUCCUCUAUUCACGGCCUGGGUGCGACACAGCUACAUCGUCACCGACGGGCGGAUUCCCGACUGGCUCGACCUGGAGAACCCCAAAGUUUCAGUUGUUACGCAUGAGGUAAAACCUGAGCUUCUUUAACUGCUCAAGUUUGGCGCCUGGCUCCGAAGAGUGAUCGCCCACGCGCCCUACAUGACUGACAAGGUUAUCAUGCAGGAGCUGCAAAACACAUUUCCAAAAGAAUUUGAGAAGACCUCAAGCCACCGCUGGCGUCACUCAGAAGACAUGCAGUACGCCUUUUCCUGUUUUUACUACCUGAUACACACUCACCAGAAAAUCAUCUCAGACAAAGAUCAUUCUGGAAUGGAAUGGAAUGUUUUUCGGGGGAUGUGACGAUGUAUACUGUAACUGCUGUGAUGGACCCGAGCUAGCGAGCGACUGAUGCCGAAUGCUAGCUAUGCUGGACUGGUAGGUGGCAGCGUAGCUAGUGGCCACUAGGGGUGUCUUAGAAUGUUGAACUAUUUGACAGUCGAUUCGAAGGAGUCUCAUUCGACAGUAAACGUAAAAUAUUUUUCUUGUAACUUUUAAGAGUAUAAUGAGUCCUAAAAUAAGUAAAUUGUUCUUCAUCACAUAGCUAGAUUUCAAAUGUUCUAUUUACAAGGUAAGAAGUGAGCCAAAUGCUCUUAUGAGAUUCCUAAAUUAAGAUUAAAUUUGCUUUUGUGAGGCUCUUAAUUUAAGGCAAAUAUUCUUAAUUGGUUGCUGAAGAAUAAUCAAACAUUUUAGCUUGUUUUUAGAAAAACUAACUAAUUUCUGGAAAAAAAACCCUCUUAAGAGUUGGCUAGCUAUACUUUCUUAAUAUAAGAUUUUUUUCUCAAGUGAAAAUUGCUACAUGAGAUAUUUUUUUCUUUUUAGGAAAAAAACAAGAAAUGGUUGCUUAAAAUGGGAGUUUUUUUUACUUUGUUGAAAUUUAGAUUUUGCAGUGCAUGGCUGCUGCUGAGCACACAUUUUUACAUAGAAUGUCUUUGCUUUUGUUCCACAUAGGCUGAUUUGCCUUAAGAAUUGAAAAUGUGUUAAUUUAUUAAUCAUUUAUUAAUAAAUAAUUUCUUUGCAGAAAUUCACUUAUAUAAACGUGGGAUGAUGGGUAUAUAUGUUAUUAUUAUCCAAUUCUUUGUGGCCUGUUGUACUUAAAAUGGUCUAUUCCUGCAGCAGCCGAGACAGAAAAGCAAAUUAAACGCAAGAUCACGUUAAUAACUGUAAUGUGAACAUUUUUUGUGGAUAACAGAAAACAUUUGCCAAUAAAAUGUCCACAAGCAAAGAAAUAACUACGUAACUCAACCAUCAACGGCGUUACAUAUGUGAUAAUCCACCGCAUCAUGGCGUGUCUUGCAUUUGGGAUGUCACAAAAAGCAAAAGCAAUGUUAUAAACAGUUAAACAAGUGUAAAAUAUGUUGAGACAUAAAAAAAGCAAAAGAAUGUCCUCCUCUGGCAUUGCAUCCUUGCACCCUGACAUUAACUAAUACUGUAUAAUAACAAGUAUGAGCAAUAAUUGAAUGGGCUGCUGGGCUUUGCAGGCCCUUAAUAAACUUCCUUGAAC